rnacentral:lncRNA from 1 species
UGGAGUAGCCCAUGGCAGUCCUAGGUGAAGACCAUGUGGGGUAGCCCAUGACAUUGGAUGUAAGGCUAUGUGGGGGAGCCCAUGACAGUCCUAGGUGAAGACUAUGUGGGGUAGCCCAUGGCAUUCUCACAGGUUUCAUGUAUGCAUGGCUUAUGCAAUAUGUGUGUAGCUUUUAUAGCUACAACAUAUGUGAUAUGUGGAUUAUAAGUUUGGUAUCAAUCUAAGGUACACUCUUGACAAUGAAAAUCUUUAACUGAAAUAUGAUAGUUGCCACCAUUAUCGAUAUCAAGAUUACACAUUGUUUGAAGAAUUUGACCUAGGGGUAGGUCUACCACAUACCAACAGAGGAACAAUUUGACAACAUAAAGAAGUAGCAAAUCGGUACAUGCAAGGAAAGAAUGUCUACAGAGAAAGGAGCUACUUGGAACAUAAAUAGGGAAGCUAUUCUUUAGACCAAAAGGAAAGAAAAGUAGAAUAUUUCCUACUGGUGACAGGCACUUCUCGGGCGGAACCUUAGGUUAGUCAACUGGCGUUCCAUUUCAAGCAAGCGACUCUCGUAUACUGAUUGGCGUGCUCGGAGCUCCACAACUUCAGCUCGAGUUGCAGCUAGUUCUCGCUGAUGGGCUUCGUUGUCUCUCAAAAUCCUCCCAUAAGCAACCUCGAGACUGCGAAUAUGGUUUGUGUUGACAUCCGAGUCUGCCUCGAGUUCCACAGUUCGUUGAAUGGCCUACACGUUCAUCUUGACAUUGCGGGCCACUCGGCGGACUAUGAUCGGAAGGGCUCUAUCUGCGGAGCCUCCUCCGUCCACAUUGUAGAAGUGGUGAUCCCCAUUAUACGGGCGGGGUUGGCCUUGUUCGUGACUCCACCUAUCCAGGCUUCCCACCCACAUGGGCGUUGGGCCUUCAAGUACAAGCUGAGGGUUGGGAUUUGGUAUUGGGGCCACUAGGGGUAAGUUCACGACUUCUGGUUCCGAGUCAGUCUCUUCAGGAAAUGGUUCGGCAAUGCCAUCAUCAAAAGGGAUUUCAUGGUUUCCUUCUGGCUCUGGUUCGAUCCAUCCAUCCUCUCCUUGGUUAGGAAAGUACGGGUCGCCAGGAAGAUGGAAUCCAGCCAUUCUAUCUACGCGAGACGAGGGUAAAGGGAUAAUUAAUAGGCAUCGAAUCUAUAACACUUCUAAUGUAUUAUAGUUACAUGAUUGAUUCUCCUGGGUAACACUCCGGUUCGAUCGUUAUAGCACCCUAAAAUUCUCGUACAGUAUUUUAAUCCUUAUGUUCGGUUCUAGAACUCUUUUGGUAUCUAAGUAAGUUUUAGGCUUGUUGCAAAGCCAUUGUUACUCCCAAGCACAUGUUGGUCAUGUCUCGAAUGAAUAUCAUUGAUCAGACUAUAUUGACCCUAGACAUGAUUACAUGACUGCCCAGGUUUAACCGCAGUGUCCAACAUCCAAAUACUUUUGUUUCGUUUUACUCACGACACGGAUUCUGAUACUCGGGUAUACUUAUAUACUUUUAUAAAAAUACUUGUAUUUUCAAAAGUAUACUUUUUAGUUUACAGCACUCAGGCCCCUUAAUAUUUAUAGUUGUAUACCAUGUAAGGUUCGGUAUACUUAGUUCGCUAUAAACAAGGGCUCUGAUACCAAUCUGUCACACCCCGAAACCGAUGGCGGAAACGUUCUGGGGCGGAGGUGACGUCAUGCAUAGCAUCACAACCAAUGAAUAACAACGAGCAUAGUAAACACAACCAGACAUUGAAUACAUAUGUGAAAAAGGUUUACAUUGUUUAAUACAUAGUUUUGUUCUUAUCAAAGGUAAAAUAGAAAUUCACGACACUAACGCUUCGACUUCUCCGAACUCCUGGAAGUACCUGUCUACUAAUUUCCUGAGAAUACAAGCAGUUUGAAAGUCAGCAUAAAGCUGGUGAGUUCAUAAGCAUUUAGUUUUGGUGGAAAAGUGUUCUUUGAAUCCUUUUUGAAAAGUGUUCCUCAAGAAAAUCCUAUAUUUUCUUAUGAAAAGCACGUUUCAAAACCCAUUCAUUCCAUGACUUCCAGGUUCGUAUAGAACGUGUACAAUCCAAUGUGUCGUGGAAUGAAUAUGAAUAUCCGUUGGUUGAAAAACAAUCCGUUUUGAAUAGCCAAUUUAUCCCGGGAAAAUCCUAUAUUUUCCCUAAAGGUGGUUGGUUGAUUAUCUGUUUUAAACUGAGGUUUGCAAGUAUCUACCAUACUCGUGUAUAUAGAUAUAAGCAGUUUUCUUUUAAAGACCCUGGUUACACCCAGAUAUAUAUUAGUCUUAAAAGCUAAAUAAAAGAAAUCGUGAUGAACUAAGUCCUGAAGGUAUUAUUAAUACCCUCCAGUAAUCUAACGGUUGUUACUUUGAGGUUAGUUCAUUUGAUUCAUUAUUAUAAAGUAAAUUCUUGUUAUCUAGGUUGUGAUUUUCGUAACCAUAAAUGACUGGACAUGGUCCGCAACGACCGAUAUCCUUAAUGACUCUGUCACCCGCAAACAUGCCGGUCCAACUGUAGCUAGCAGUGAGGUGCGGGAUUGUCAGUCCCGUAUAGAUCUAUACACAACAGUCACGCUCUCCCUAUAAGAGGUUCUGGUCACGAGUGCUAGUCCUCCACUCUGUUUAUUGUGGUGAGUGUUACCAAGGACGUGUCUCAAACAUAGCCUAACAAAUUUACAAGUAAUAACACCGAAAAAUCUUGUUUAUGAUUUGCAUGAAUCCUUUAUAAAAUAAUACGUUUUACUAGAUGAUUCACAAGUUCAUUGUUCUAGUUUUGAAAACUAUUUCUACGAGUUGAUUUCUUUAUCAUUUGGUAAAACUAUUUUCCGUGUCAAAAGCAUGUUGAAAUAUGAUUAUCUUAAACAGAAUAAUAUAUUUUGAGCACAAGUUUACAUGUACUUUUGCUUAUAUCCCCCCCCCCCGGUAAAACAUAAAAAUAACUCGGAAAAACGUAGGGGUAUGAACUCACAGUUGUUGCGUGGAGUUGUUGACUGAAAUGAAGAUUCUCGAGUUGUUGCGCGUGACACUUAACGAAAUCCUAUUAUCAAAUAAAUACGUAUAUGUAUCUAAAUUAGCGAUUUCGAUAAAUAAAGUGUCGUAAACACUUGAAUUUAGUUGAGGAAUGUUACUGAGACUUGCUUGAAUCAAAGGAAUGAGUUAACAGCCUUAAAACACGAAUUUACGAAUUCUGAAGGUGAGUUUAAGGCCUUAGAACACGAGUUUACGGUUUCUGCAGUUUGCCGAGUUUACGGCCGUAAACUCAAGAACAGAGUUUACGGUCUUCGAAGGGUGGCCCGUAAACUCGGAGAAUGGUGUUUGGAUGUUGAUUUCGACGCGAUGAGUGUUUCCAGACAUUCCAAAAGACUCCAAACGUGGUUUUCUCGAUGCUCUCCGAAGUUUGAAGGUGUUUUGAGUGUUUACAGUCGAGGUCUAGAGAGAGAGAGAGAGAGAGUUUUUGGCCAGAAAUGUUCUAAUGAAGGUGGAUGCAUCGUAUUUAUAGGGGUGAGGUGAGGGGUCCACUUUCUACUGACCGUAAACAGGUUUACGGUCGUAAAUGUAAGUCCCCAAAAUUAAGGAUCCAAUUUAGUAAUCAAUGAAGUUAAUUGCUAUUAGAUUUGUAUUUAGAUUUUGAUUUAGAAGAAGAAGAAAUUGAAUCAAGCAUGCACACAUUUAUAUCAUAUAAAUGUCAGGUACAUCUUGGGAAAAACACACACAUACGUCACUGACUUCUAGCCAAAAAAAUACAGACUGACACACCUCAAUUGCUAUUUAUAGUACUCCUCCUACCAGCACAAGAGUGUGCAGCCAAGCACAUGUGUGCGGCCGCACACACACAUGUGUGGCAGCACACAUUACAUGACUAUAAACAAAAUACUACAAAAGACAUAAUUAACUAUACAAAAUGAUGCCUAGCUCAAACCACAAAUUAUGUUCUUUCAGUCUCCCCCUUGGUUUGAGACUAGCAUAGUCUUGUCAUCAUUCCUUUGGCUCCUCAGCAGGCUUCUCAAACAGCCUCAGAUCUGAUCUCCCCAUUGAAUCCAUCCACAACCUUCCAUUUAUGAUUGUAGCAACCAUUGCAGUGUAUUCUUUGGCGGCAACUUCCAUUACUUUUUUUCUGCAGAUUAUCUGGUGACGAGCCAGAGUCCGUAUGUCCCUUUCUCGAAAGCGACGAAGAUCUUUUGCAUUUAUCAGCCUCAAAACACGUUCUUGAUCCUUGAAUUUUAUGGCCGCAUUUGCAGUUUCGUCAUCGUAUGCCCAAAAUUCCAUAUUAUCAAGAUAUCCUUCCUGGAAAUGCUGAGGGAUUGGAAUUUCUUUUUGCUUCUUUGUAGCGGGCCAUAAGAUAAUCUUCAUAGGUUCACCUGUUUCUGGGUCGAUAACAUCCUUAUCCUUUCGAUAAAUAGCUUUAGCAGUCUUCAUGCUGGGAAAAUUUUCUUUGACCUGCCUAUCAAGGAACCUCUUAAAGUUUGAUGCACUUGGAUCUUUAGAGGGAUUGUGAAAGGGAACUCUAGAUAAUUCUGCUAGAUCAGUCUUAGUCCAAGAAUUGAAAUCAUGGGUGCUUUUGUAACAUUCAGAAAUUCCUGAAUUUCGCUUCACCACCCACAAAUUCGUUUCUGGAUCGAAAGCCCACAUACGGAUACCAGAUCUGUCACCAUACUUAUCGCCAAACUUUCUCUUUUUCAAAUCUGUUACAGUCAGGGCAGGUUCUUUUGCUUUGCGAUUUUCAUUUGUAUUUUUCAUAAACAGAAGUCCCUCGCGUUGGUUUGCAGUCACAACUCUUUUGCCCUGUUUAAUUGUGAUUCUAGCUCUGCUUCCUUCUGGUUCUUUUUCAAAUCUGUCUACAAUGGUAGUUGUUCUUGGAGCAGGUGGGUCAACAGGAAGAUCAUUAGAUACAUGAGGUGAUUGAGCUGAAGGAGGAUCAUCUACUCCAUGAGGCUGUUGGAAGAGGGCUUUAACUUUUUCACCAAAAGCAUCAUACAAUACGUUCUUGAGAUUAAGAUAACUGGCUAGAACGGAUCCAAGACUUGUUUGUAAAUCUUUGAUUUGUUUGGUCUUUUCUUCAUCCUUUGCCCUGAGCUCAAAGACAUAUGCAGAAAGUUGAUCCAUUUGAAUUGAUUUUUCAAUGAGCUGUUGGCGGAGAAAUCCAACUUCCCCUCGAAGAUCAGAUGAAGAGAAUUUGUCAUCAUCUGUCCGAUCCUCGUUAAAUGAUAUUCCUUUCCCACGUGAAGAGGUUGGACUUGAUUGAGCUAAAUGUCUUACUAGUCUGAUAGAAGCUUCAUCUAGAGAAGGUCGAGUUGGAGAAUAUUCUGGAACAUAAGAGGAUCCACCAGUCUCGAACAUUGUGCUUGGACCUUCAUUAGACUGCAUUGGAGGAGAGUGAGCCAAGGUUGCAGUGAUUGUUGAGGUAAUUUGAGGAGCACCUUUUACAGCGGGAAUCUCCAGACUUUCAAGAGAUUGGCUUGUUCUUAAGGAAGUCUGAGAAGUCUGAGGUUCAGAUAAGACGGAAAUGAUUGGAGCUGAUGUUGAGACAAGUGACACAGAGGGAGGAAUCUCUGAUGUCACAUCCCCUUGGCUUGUUGUGACCUCCAAAGGCUUUGAGGUGGAGAGUAGAAUUUUGAGAGAAUCUUCUUCAGCUCUAGUCUUGGUUGCUAGAGAAACAACUUCAUUGACUUUAUUUGCACUGUUGCUGGUGAUACCAAGAAAAGGAUCAAAGUCUUCAUCAUUGAGAUCAAACUGUAUGUUAGUUGGAACGUCAUCGUUGAUUCUAGUAAAGUCGAAUUCAUUCAAAAACUGUACGCCAUCAUAAAUAUCAUCGUCAUCAUCACCUCGAGAAGACCUUGAAUCAUUUGUUUUCUGAUAAUCAUGUUCAUCAGCUACACAUGCUCUGGGAGAGUGAUGAAUCUCCUCCACUUCAGGCUCUGAGGGAGAGUGAUGAAUAUCUUCAUUUUCCAUUGGCAUUGAUUGUUCUUCCGAUUCGUCUCUAUCAUCUUCUUUAAAGAUUCCAAAUUUUAUCAAUGGGAAUUUUCCUUCAAAAACAAUUUUCCCACCUCUCUUCUGUUUCAUUAGCCCAAAAGCUCUUGGACCAAUGGAUUUAAAAUCUAAGACAUCAUUUCCUCUCUGCAGCUCGGCGUGAUUCAAGUUGAGGAUGAUUUGCAGAAAUCUUGGAUACAUCCAGAAUUUAUCUCUUUUGUUCCCUUCAAGAUUCAGGAUCAUUUCAUUCAGAAUAAAUUUUGAGAAGUUAAACUUAAAACCUGCAGCCAAUGCUGCAAUGGCACCAGUGUUAGCAAGAGAGAUAUCAUUAGCUCUAGAUCUCCUUCCGGAAAUACAGCUCACGAACACAUGAGCCAAAUACUUCCAACACGGAGGAAGCAACUUCUUGAUUGUAGGGGGAAAUGUUCCCUCAUAACCCAUAUGCUCCAAGACAUCCUGAGUCUGAUGAAUAUCGAUCUCCAUGGUAUACUCAGGUUUGUCUGAUAUUUGAAGGGAUUCUCUUAUGAUGCUCUCCGUUACUUGAAUUUUCUUUUCUUCAAUUGUUGCUUCAACAAAUUUGUCACCCUGACCAUUUUUCUUUACGACAGCAUUUCUCCAAAAUUCUUUGAUCAAACUCUGGUAGAUAGCAGGACUUGUUGUUAAGGCAUGAACUAAACAUGAUUUCUUCAAUCCAUCAACAAUGAAUUUCAUGUCUCUGUGGGCUGCAGGAGGGUCUUCAAGAAAAAUUGCAGAAUUGUGAGCUUUAGCAAAUUCCUGAUCUCCCAUUUUAAUCUGAAAGUAAACACAUGAAAAAUUAGGGCAAUAAGAAAAUGUUCAGCUGCACGUUCAUAAAAUCAUGUAAUCGCACAUGGUCAGCCGCACACGGUUGUGUGGCAGCACACGGUCAGCCGCACACGCUUGUGUGGCAACACUCGGUCAGCCGCACACUCAUGUGUGCGGCCGCACACAGCCAACCGCACACGCAUGUGUGCCGCCGCAUAAACAUCUUUAUUAAAAUCAAACAACAAACAACAAACAAUUUUUUGAAAAAUUCAACCGCAUUCAUAAUAAUUACCGAGUACGAUCUUGUUUUUACUGAAACUUGAAGAAAAUUUGAGAGAGAAAAUAUGUGUGUGCGGUUGANAAAAGCCUCACGCACACACACUAUAUAUAUUCAUAGAAUUUACACAUUCUCCCCCUUGUCUUUUAAACAUUUAUUCCAAAACCCCUUUUUGCACACAAUUUUCUUAAAAAGAAUUGUUUUGAGGAUUAAUAUCUUUAAUUUCAAAGUUUUAAUAAAAUAAAAAAAUAAAAUAAAAUAAAAAUAAAAAUAAAAAUAAAAAUAAAAUAAAANNNNNNNNNNNNNNNNNNNNNNNNNNNNNNNNNNNNNNNNNNNNNNNNNNNNNNNNNNNNNNNNNNNNNNNNNNNNNNNNNNNNNNNNNNNNNNNNNNNNGACCCUAACUCGCUGAGUACAACUAGUGACUCGCCGAGUUUCCCGAGAUAACGUCUACUCGUUGAGUCAUCGAGGUGACUCGUCGAGUUCAUACGGUCUUGAUUGAUAAUCUAAGGUCAUUCGCCGAGUUUCCUUGCUUGCCACUCGACACGUCUACGAACAUCCAAUAGUUGGGGGAAUCUUACACGACUCGCCGAGUUGUUCCUUCAACUCGUCGAGUUCUAGGUAAUCUUCAUCUGGCUCGCCGAGUUGUUCAUCCAACUCGUCGAGUUUAUGGAAAUAUUCAUCGGGCUCGCCGAGUUGUUCAUCUAAAUCAUCAAGUUCAUGCAUGCCUUCAUAUGACUCGCCGAGUCACUCCCUGCGACUCGCUGAGUCCUUACAGAUCUCAGAUGUGACAACCCGAAACUCUGUCCGUUUCUGUCACGCGACUUCCGUUAAUAAAGUUACGAAUUCAUUAAUUUUUCCGUCAAAAAUUUUGGUUUAAUAAAACAAUCUAGUUAUAUUUAAUUAAACUAUUAAUGAGUCGGAACCAAAAAUCGCGUGGAAACCCGAAUAUCUCUAGAAAACUACAUUUUUGGUCUAAAAUGGGAUUACGACCGUAAACUAGUUUACUGAAAGAACAUAAUUUGUGGUUUGAGCUAGGCAUCAUUUUGUAUAGUUAAUUAUGUCUUUUUGCAGUAUUUUGUUUAUAGUCGUGUAAUGUGUGCGGCCGCACACAUGUGCUUGGCUGCACACUCUUGUGCUGGUAGGAGGAGUACUAUAAAUAGCAAUUGAGGUGUGUCAGUCUGUAUUUUUUUGGCUAGAAGUCAGUGACGUAUGUGUGUGUUUUUCCCAAGAUGUACCUGACAUUUAUAUGAUAUAAAUGUGUGCAUGCUUGAUUCAAUUUCUUCUUCUUCUAAAUCAAAAUCUAAAUACAAAUCUAAUAGCAAUUAACUUCAUUGAUUACUAAAUUGGAUCCUUAAUUUUGGGGACUUACAUUUACGACCGUAAACCUGUUUACGGUCAGUAGAAAGUGGACCCCUCACCUCACCCCUAUAAAUACGAUGCAUCCACCUUCAUUAGAACAUUUCUGGCCAAAAACUCUCUCUCUCUCUCUCUCUAGACCUCGACUGUAAACACUCAAAACACCUUCAAACUUCGGAGAGCAUCGAGAAAACCACGUUUGGAGUCUUUUGGAAUGUCUGGAAACACUCAUCGCGUCGAAAUCAACAUCCAAACACCAUUCUCCGAGUUUACGGGCCAACCUUCGAAGACCGUAAACUCUGUUCUUGAGUUUACGGCCGUAAACUCGGCAAACUGCAGAAACCGUAAACUCGUGUUCUAAGGCCUUAAACUCACCUUCAGAAUCCGUAAAUUCGUGUUUUAAGGCUGCUAACUUAUUCCUUUGAUUCAAGCAAGUCUCGGUAACAUUCCUCAANNNNNNNNNNNNNNNNNNNNNNNNNNNNNNNNNNNNNNNNNNNNNNNNNNNNNNNNNNNNNNNNNNNNNNNNNNNNNNNNNNNNNNNNNNNNNNNNNNNNUUGAUCCUCGGAACUACCCUUAUAGCCAAAUCUCCAUAUCGUCAAUAGCCGUCAAAAAUGUGAGAGUUACUCAGCCAGUCCGCUGAGCUGAGCAACCAGGAGUUCGUAAACUUAUUAUAUGCGAAGUUUGUGUGUUCAAAUCUUUUCUAUCAUAGCUAAGACCACAUCACGGGGAUGUGGGUCGAAUCACUGAGAGUCCGAUAGCUUAACGGGAAAUCUCAACGCACAGAUAAGCAUUUAGGAUAUAUCUGGGGGCAACCAUUGUUGCUCACAAUCUUCUUUCCUUGAUAUGUAGCAGAUCAUGCCUCCGAAGAAACGUAACCAACCCACCAGUAAGACACCAAUCCUCCAGAUGGACCCAACUACGUUCCAAGCUACCGUCACAGUAGUUGUAGCAGCCGCCUUAGCAGUUCUUAACGCUAACAACACGAAUGUGGGUGAAAGUGUGAAUGGCAAUCCGAAUCUUGGUGUUAACCAAUCUCAACAACAAGUGCCUACUAGAAAGGACACACCUAAUCUCCAACCUAACAUCCUAAAAUGAAAGUUAAACGGGAGUUGUUCAACCGAAAGACCUACUGAGAGGCAACGAAUUGGGAUAGUUAGUACCCCAGUCAGCCCUGCUGUUCCCACAACAACCAUACCCUAUUAUGGAAAUCUCCCGCACUGCAACAAAUGAAACUACCAUCAUCACGGGGUCUGCCGAGUGCUGCAUUGCACCAGAUGCAAUAGGAAGGGACACACCUCCCGCGGUUGUAGAAUCCUAUUCAAGUUCAUCACUCCGACUACCAAUGUUGGGACAAGUCCAACCUGUUACCUCUAUGGAAGUUUAGGACAUUUCAAAAGAGACUGCCCAAUAGAAAAGAACAAUGGGGAAACAGGAGGAGUCUGACCUCAGAGAAUGAGGAAGCAUCAAAGAAUCCUGCUAUAUUUUGGUACGUUUUCGAAAACCCCUAUAAUUGUUCAUAAUUGUGAUUAAUUUCUCGUCCAAAUUCAAUUGUGACAUUCCUAUAAGAUUUAAAAGCCCUAAUGAACAAAUUAUGAUAACUUAGUGAAUACGCUAGGGUCAGUUGUAAUUAUACACGGCUUGUGUACACCAAACGAUCAUAGGGAAAUCUAGUAAGAACCAUUUCAUGAAAGUUCAUAGAUUCAAGACAUCAGAACCCUCGUGUUAGUAGUACCUGUUAAUUUCGAAUCAAACACAACAAACACCAGAGACAUGCACCCGGAGGCAUCAAUGUGAUAACGAAACGAUCUUUGCGGACGAACUUAACGCACGAUCCUACGACGUCGUCCUAUUUAGUCUGAUCGAGUCUAUGUCAUACUAAACCCUUUUGUCUUAAAAUCGUUCGAUCGCAAAACUCCCGUUGCUCGUAACGGAAAAUUAGAUGUGAACCUCGAAAAUUCAUCCCUCUUCGAAGCCCUCUAUGGUCGUAAGUACAGAUUCCAUCUGUGCUGGGCUGAGGUAGGUGACACGCAACUAGUCAAGAGUCAAGCCCCCAGCAACACUUUCGCAAGUCCUGAAAUCAUCUGAAAGACGACUGAGAAGAUCGUGCAAAAGGGGCUAUGCCGAUGAGAGACAAAAACCAUUAGAGUUCCAGAUAGGUGGACGGGUCUCUUGCGGGUCUCACCCCGGAAAGGCCUGAUAUGCUUCGGAAAGCGUAGAAAGCAAAAAUCAAGACAGGUUGGAUCGUCCAAGAUCCUUGCUAGGAUCAGUCCCGUAAGCAUACAAAUGCCAGUUACCCCGAGAACUCAGCGAAGUCCAUCCCUUCUUCUUCAUGUCGAACGAAAAAGAGUGUCCAUCCGAUGAGACACCUGCGAAUUCCCCUCGAAAACCACAAGUUAGAAGAGUGUCUACACUUUGUGUGAGAAUCACCUGAACUCACGGAUCGAGAAGUCAAGCGAACGAAAUAACGUCGCAUCCCGAUAGUGAAGGUCCAGGGGGAUGUUAAACAGGAACUUGGAUUCACUUGGUAGCACGAAGAUCAGAUGAAACAAUAGUAUCCGCAUCUCUUUCCAAAUCCAUGAAUUGUAUUCCAUGUUCGAAUUUUGGCACGAAAUUCCCUCUAACGGGGGGAUGAUGUGACAACCCGAAACUAUGUCCGUUUCUGUCACGUGACUUCCGUUAAUAAAGUUUCGAAUUCAUUAUUUUUUCCAUCAAAAAUUUUGGUUUAAUAAAAUAAUCUAGUUAUAUUUAAUUAAACUAUUAAUGAGUCGGAACCAAAAAUCGCGUGGAAACCCGAAUAUCUCUAGAAAACUACAUUUUUGGUCUAAAAUGGGAUUACGACCGUAAACUAGUUUACUGAAAGAACAUAAUUUGUGGUUUGAGCUAGGCAUCAUUUUGUAUAGUUAAUUAUGUCUUUUUGCAGUAUUUUGUUUAUAGUCGUGUAAUGUGUGCGGCCGCACACAUGUGCUUGGCUGCACACUCUUGUGCUGGUAGGAGGAGUACUAUAAAUAGCAAUUGAGGUGUGUCAGUCUGUAUUUUUUUGGCUAGAAGUCAGUGACGUAUGUGUGUGUUUUUCCCAAGAUGUACCUGACAUUUAUAUGAUAUAAAUGUGUGCAUGCUUGAUUCAAUUUCUUCUUCUUCUAAAUCAAAAUCUAAAUACAAAUCUAAUAGCAAUUAACUUCAUUGAUUACUAAAUUGGAUCCUUAAUUUUGGGGACUUACAUUUACGACCGUAAACCUGUUUACGGUCAGUAGAAAGUGGACCCCUCACCUCACCCCUAUAAAUACGAUGCAUCCACCUUCAUUAGAACAUUUCUGGCCAAAAACUCUCUCUCUCUCUCUCUCUAGACCUCGACUGUAAACACUCAAAACACCUUCAAACUUCGGAGAGCAUCGAGAAAACCACGUUUGGAGUCUUUUGGAACGUCUGGAAACACUCAUCGCGUCGAAAUCAACAUCCAAACACCAUUCUCCGAGUUUACGGGCCAACCUUCGAAGACCGUAAACUCUGUUCUUGAGUUUACGGCCGUAAACUCGGCAAACUACAGAAACCGUAAACUCGUGUUCUAAGGCCUUAAACUCACCUUCAGAAUCCGUAAAUUUGUGUUUUAAGGCUGUUAACUUAUUCCUUUGAUUCAAGCAAGUCUCGGUAACAUUCCUCAANNNNNNNNNNNNNNNNNNNNNNNNNNNNNNNNNNNNNNNNNNNNNNNNNNNNNNNNNNNNNNNNNNNNNNNNNNNNNNNNNNNNNNNNNNNNNNNNNNNNGUUCAUGUAGGAAGCAUAAGCAAGGAAGAUACGAAUGGCUUCCAAUCGAGCAACCGGAGCAUAAAAUUCUGUAUAGUCAAGACCCUCAACCUGUCGAAACCCUCGAACCACCAAUCUUGCCUUGUUGUGCACAAUGACACCUGAAUCGUCUUGUUUAUUUCGAAAUACCCAACGAGUAUCAAGAGAUUUCUUUCCUUUUGGUAGUUCCACCAAUUUCCAGACUCCGAGUUUCUCAAAUUGAUUUAAUUCAUCAUGCAUGGCUUCAACCCAGCUGGGCUCAUUCAGAGCCAUUUCGACAGAUUUAGGUUCUAUUUGAGAUAUGAAGCAAGAGUAAAGACAUGUAUUUACAUCCCCACUUUUACUUCUCGUUUGAACCCCGUCGCCCAACUGGCCAAUGACGUUCUCUAUUGGAUGAUCUCGCUGAAUGCGUGAAGGGAUCUGAUAACUAAUAUCAUUGACCGAAACAGGAAGAUUAUGAAUGUUAACCGCUCCAUCAUUUGUUGUAUGGUCUGUAGAGGAUGAACAAGGUUCGUUAGAAGAAUCCGCUACAAACUCUUCUGCAAUAUUUUCUGGAAAAAGAAGUUCCAUCAAAGUUGAAGUUACAGCGGAAGUCUCGUGAUUCAUGAACUCUUUUUCCAUUGGAGUUAAAGGAGUAGCAAUGGCAUCAGGAGAAGGUUGUUGAGGAGAUUCAGAAGAUUCAAAUUGAGUAGGGGGUAUCCAAGGAGGAUUAGUGGAAAUCAAUGGAGGUCGAUAAACAACUUCAUCUUCUUCGUCUUCACUAGGAAUCUUCGAAUUGGAAGUAGAUCCUUCUUGAUUAUCUGAAGACACAUUGAAUGAUUUGAAAAGAGAUGUGUAGUCAAAAAACCAGUCAGGACCCACUCUAGCAUCUGUCUCAUUCUCUUCAAGCCAACGAACAUCAAAUGAUUCUACAAUCUGUUUAGUCUUCUUAUUGUAAACCCUGUACGCAGUUCGAGCAGCAUAUCCAACAAAAUAAUAGUCAUCGGCUUUGGCAUUGAAUUUGGGAUUUGAUUCCAAGUGGAGAAGGGUACAAGGGCAGCCAAAUACUCGGAAAUGACUGACAGAUGGCUUGUGUCCAAAUAAAAUCUCAUACGUCGUCUUCAUUCUGGCUUUGUUGAUUAGCACAUGAUUUUGAACAUAACACGCAGUGUUAAUCGCCUCUGCCCAGAAGAAUACAGGAAGCUUGGAAUCACAGAGCAUCGUCCUUGCGGCAUCUUUUAGAGUUCGAUUCCGACGUUCAGCAACCCCGUUUUGUUGAGGUGUUCGAACAGAACUGAAUUGACGCACAAUCCCUUUCUCAGCGCAAAAAUGAUCAAGAACAGCGUUCUUGAACUCUGUUCCAUUAUCAGUACGCAGCGCUUUCACUUGAUUGUUAGUCUGAUUUUCGAUCAUCACAAUGAAUCUUUUGAUAAGGUUAGGAAUUUCUGCUUUGUUAGAUAGAAAGAAAACCCAAGUGAAACGGGAGUAAUCAUCUAUCACAACGAGGCAGAAAGAGUUGCGAUUUAUGCUCAAAACAUUAACCGGACCAAAUAAAUCCAUAUGCAAUAACUCGAGCACAUGACUUAUGGAGUUUAUCUGCUUUGAAAAGUCUGGUUUUCGAUGAUGUUUUCCCUGUGCACAUGAAACACAUUUCUCGCAAGCCGAUUCAGGUUCUUUGCAUUCGCAUGACCGAGACGACGAUGCCACAACAUUGCAUUUUGUUAAGAAGCUUUGGAGAAGAGACACGUGACAUUAUCAAGGAAAUUGCUAUUCAUGUCUAUAAUGUAGGCAUUUCCAUCCCGUUUAGAUCUUACAAGAAUCCAAUCGUCAGGGAUAAUAAUGCCAGGUUUUAAGAUCAGACAUUCCUUAUCUGUGAAAUGAUUAGAGUAGCCCUUGUCGCAUAUCUGGGAUACACUUAGCAAGCUAUGCUUCAGUUCUGGAGCAAAGUUAACAUUCUCAAAAUUCAACACUCCAUUGGACACAAUUCCUCUUUGAGUAAUUUUUCCACCCUCUCCGCCCGCAAAAGAAACAUAUCCCCCAUUAAAAGUUUGAAUGUCGUGCAAUUGGAAUAUGUCUCCAGUCAUGUGCCGGGAGCAGCCGCUGUCGACAUACCAAGGUCUGGCGACAUUCCUUCGCAACUGUCCCUGCACGAUGAAUGGAAUUAUUUAGAUUUGGGAACCCAGGUCAUCACAAACCUGGGUUGACUCUUUCCUUUUACAAGUUUUUCAUUUGAUUCUUUCUUUGCUUUUGAAUUGGAGAUUAAUGGAGAUUGAUCUGAAAAAGAUUUUGGAAUCCAUUGAAAGUUAGGUUUCAAAAAUUUGUGAGUUUGCUUUGAACUGGUGGAUCUUCUACUUGAAGAGUUAAAAGAUCCUGUCCUGCUCUUUGACAAAUUCAACUUAGGCUUGGCCUGAGUUGACUUUGGCAAACUUCUGUUGUUUUUGCAAAAAACCUGUUUAUUCUUUUGAAAUCUUUUGAAUUUUUUGUUUAAUGUUGUAUUCAAAUCUCCAUUUCUAGAAUGAGUUUUGGGAAUUUUCCUAGUCAAGGAUCGUCCCCGAAAUUCAUUCUCCCCUCUUUUUGUUGUAUGAGAUACAAACAUCCGGUUCAUGCAGUUUCUUGCAAUGUGUCCAGCAGUGCCACAGUUAAAACAAAUUUGUUUGUUAUCAGAAACUUUGGCACUGCUGUUGUCAGUGUUGUUCUUAGCUUUUCCAUUUCUAACACAAUUACACUUGCAAGAUCCAUCAUAGAAUUUAGUAACAGAUGUGUUAGAUGCAGAGACAUGUAAAUCAGAUUUAGCAGUUUGAUCAGAAACAACACUAUUAGAAUCAUUUUCAGACUGAAAUAAAAUACCACCCGACACAAAAACAUUCGUGUUUGAUUUUGACACAGACUCAUGACUGUAAUUAACACCAGAAUCAAUCACAACAUUAUUUGACUCAAAAGUUUCAGCAACAUGCUCCCCCUGGACUAUUGAUAUAUCUGCACUUGAAGCAAAAACAUUAGUAUGCAAAGUCUCAUAACUAGACUGUAUUUCCUGCUCAGAAGCUGACUUUCCAUACACCAUGCAAGGUUCUUUGUCAAUUUCUUCUUGAGACAGAGGAAUAGCAGUAUAAUUGUGAUUGAAGGGAGGAGGGACACUCUCAUAACCUAAUCCAACUUUUAUUUGAUUACCAUGAGUGAUAUCUCUCCAGUGUGAUUGACCUUCGAUUAAUUUUGCAAUCUUUUCACUUGACACAUCGUAUUUUUUGAAAUUAAAUUCAGCUUUUUCAAAACAAUUUUUCAAUGUGUCAAGUUCCAUGGUUACAGCAGCAAGUUUUCUUUUGAGAUGAUCAUAGUUCUCGCAUUUGUUGCUGUAAUCCUCUUGCAAUUUUUUAAAAUCUUUUGUUUUAUUUUCUAAUUGAGUUUUUAAGGGCUUUUGAUUUUUUCUAAGAGUAUAUCCCUCAUAUUUCAAGUCCUCGUUCUCUCUCUUGAUUAUUUCAAUUUGAUCUCUCAAAAACUUAACAGUUUUAAUACAAGAUUGAGAACAACCGAAUUCACUAACCUCAGAUUUGACUGGUUCAGGAGUGGUCUGAACCAUGAAUGCAAACUGCAAAUUCAUCAUCUCCUCCUCUGGAUCUGCUUCCAUUUCUUUACUUGCAUCCUUGACUUGAGCAAGAUUUGCCUUUUCAGGUUCUGAAAUGUUUAGGGCCUGAACUUGAUCUUCCCAGUUGAACGAUUGAGCUACCAUUGCCAUGUUUGCAGACUGAUUGUUUGAAGAUGAUCCUCUGUUGUUGCUGUGAACGUACGUUACUGGCACCAUGGUUCUUUCGGAGUUUUCUCGCUGAUUUGGUUUUGGACAUUCCCUCGCAAAGUGUCCUGGUUCAUGACAAUUAUAACAACGCAACUUUCCUUUGCUAAAACCCAUCUUUUUGUCUGAAUUUACACCCCAGUUGUUCUUUCCAGUCUUUUUUGAGAAUUGUUUAGCCCUGAAUACUGCCAUUGCCAUUUGCCAAGUAAUAUCCAUCUCUUCCACAUCUUCAGGAUGAAUUUGAUCAAGAUCCGUGAAUGAAAGUUGUGGAGAGAGCUCUCCAGCAACAAAGGCAUUGUAGCAGUUCACCAACCCAGUAGCUAAAGCCAUAUUUUCCUCCUUUUCUUUUGCAAAUGAGCUUUGGGAACCAAUUCCAUGAGAUUGAAUUAAAACAUCUGUGGAAGGACUAACACUAGAACCAGCUUGAGAUAUGGUUUGAGGGAUUUGAGUUUGUUGCAUGUUAGGUAUGAUGUAUGGUAUGUUUUGAUGGACUGUAUGAGGUUGAACUUGAGGAACCUGGAUUUGAGUAUUUUGAAGAGUGGUGAAGCUUGAAAAAGCGGUGUUGUUAUUUUGAAGUCCAAGAUUGGCUGUAGAGUAUGAAUUGACAUGAUUGAUUUCUCUUUGUUUAUCAUCAAGAUCGCAAGCUUUGAUGAUUGCCAUUGUUUCAGACAGGCUUAAACGAUUCAGAUCUUUUGUCUUUUUAAUCACCGAGACAUUCAUGUCCCAUGAUUUUGGAAGAGAAUUUAGUAACUUCUUGUUGAUUUCAGAUCUAGUAACCAUCACUCCUGCGGAGCUCAUUUCAGUGGUUAGUGUGAUAAAUCUUUGCAAUUGAUUUUCCAAUGUUUCUCCCAAUACGUAGUUAAACAUGUUGAAUUUUUGUCGGAGCAUGUCUUGUCGACUUUGCUUCAUGUCUUCAUUUCCUUCAUAAACUUCUAUGAGUGCUUCCCAUAAUGCUUUUGCUGAUGUAUACUCACGAAAUCCUUGUGCUAUUUCCGGAGACAAUGCCAUAGUCAGUGUGGCAAGAGCCUUUUCUUGUUCUUCAACUCGUUCAAAAUCAUCAUCAGUGUAGUUUUCAACUUGUUUGUCAAUUACUGUUCCAUCUUCUAAAGUAGAAGUAAUCCGAAUUGGUCCUCUCAAAAUGCUUCUCCAAAUUUUGAAAUCCUUCAUUUUGAUGUAUUUUUCAAUUCGAUAUUUCCAUUCAGGAAAUCCUUCAGCUGAUAGCAAUCUAGGAAUACGAGUAGUUGUUCCCAUUAUUGCAUCCAAAUCUUGAUGAACAGUCAUGUUUUGAGAUUCCAUUUUAGUAAUUUUAAACUCUUAAACACACACUCCUUAACCGCACACACUUAUCCAGCCGCACACUGAAUUGAGCCGCACACACAAAUCUAACCGCACACUAAACCAACAAUCACUUCAACCGCACACACUUUCAACCGCAAACUCCCUCAACCACACACACGUAUUUUAACAGCAAAUCUUGAAAGUCAGCAGCAAACCUUCAGAUGGCAGCAAACCUUCAACAGUUGGCAGCAAACCUUCAACAGUUGGCAGCAAACACUCAAAAAAACAACUUCAAUUGAUACCAAAUUGGCUCUGAUACCAAUUGUAAGUCCCCAAAAUUAAGGAUCCAAUUUAGUAAUCAAUGAAGUUAAUUGCUACUAGAUUUUGAUUUAGAUUUUGAUUUAGAAGAAGAAGAAAUUGAAUCAAGCAUGCACACAUUUAUAUCAUAUAAAUGUCAGGUACAUCUUGGGAAAAACACACACAUACGUCACUGACUUCUAGCCAAAAAAAUACAGACUGACACACCUCAGUUGCUAUUUAUAGUACUCCUCCUACCAGCACAAGAGUGUGCAGCCAAGCACAUGUGUGCGGCCGCACACAUUACACGACUAUAAACAAAAUACUGCAAAAAGACAUAAUUAACUAUACAAAAUGAUGCCUAGCUCAAACCACAAAUUAUGUUCUUUCAGUAAACUAGUUUACGGUCGUAAUCCCAUUUUAGACCAAAAAUGUAGUUUUCUAGAGAUAUUCGGGUUUCCACGCGAUUUUUGGUUCCGACUCAUUAAUAGUUUAAUUAAAUAUAACUAGAUUGUUUUAUUAAACCAAAAUUUUUGACGGAAAAUAAUGAAUUCGAAACUUUAUUAACGAAAGUCACGUGAUAGAAACGGACAUAGUUUCGGGUUGUCACAUCAUCCCCCCGUUAGAGGGAAUUUCGUGCCAAAAUUCGAACAUGGAAUACAAUUCAUGGAUUUGGAAAGAGAUGCGGAUACUACUGUUUCAUCUGAUCUUCGUGCUACCAAGUGAAUCCAAGUUCCUGUUUAACAUCCCCCCGGACCUUCACUAUCGGGAUGCGACGUUAUUUCGUUCGCUUGACUUCUCGAUCCGUGAGUUCAGGUGAUUCUCACACAAAGUGUAGACUCUCUUCUAACUUGUGGUUUUCGAGGGGAAUUCGCAGGUGUCUCAUCGGAUGGACACUCUUUUUGGUUCGACAUGAAAAAGAAGGGAUGGACUUCUCUGAGUUCUCGGGGUAACUGGCAUUUGUAUGCUUACGGGACUGAUCCUAGCAAGGAUCUUGGACGGUCCAACUUGUCUUGAUUUUUGCUUUCUACGCUUUCCGAAGCAUAUCAGGCCUUUCCGGGGUGAGACCCGCAAGAGACCUGUCCACCAAUCUGGAACUCUAAUGGUUUUUGUCUCUCAUCGGCGUAGCCCCUUUUGCACGAUCUUCUCAGUCGUCUUUCAGAUGAUUUCAGGACUUGCGAAAGUGUUGCUGGGGGCUUGACUCUUGACUAGUUGCGUGUCACCUACCUCAGCCCAGCACAGAUGGAAUCUGUACUUACGACCAUAGAGGGCUUCAAAGAGGGAUGAAUUUUCGAGGUUCACAUCUAAUUUUCCGUUACGAGCAACGGGAUUUUUGCGAUCGAACGAUUUUAAGACAAAAGGGUUUAGUAUGACAUAGACUCGAUCAGACUAAAUAGGACGACGUCGUAGGAUCGCGCGUUAAGUUCGUCCGGAAAGAUCAUUUCGUUAUCACAUUGAUGCCUCCGGGUGCAUGUCUCUGGUGUUUGUUGUGUUUGAUUCGAAAUUAACAGGUACUACUAACACGAGGGUUCUGAUGUCUUGAAUCUAUGAACUUUCAUGAAAUGGUUCUUACUAGAUUCCCUAUGAUCGUUUGGUGUACACAAGCCGUGUAUAAUUACAACUGACCCUAGCGUAUUCACUAAGUUAUCAUAAUUUGUUCAUUAGGGCUUUUAAAUCUUAUAGGAAUGUCACAAUUGAAUUUGGACGAGAAAUUAAUCACAAUUAUGAACAAUUAUAGGGGUUUUCGAAAACGUACCAAAAUAUAGCAGGAUUCUUUGAUGCUUCCUCAUUCUCUGAGGUCAGACUCCUCCUGUUUCCCCAUUGUUCUUUUCUAUUGGGCAGUCUCUUUUGAAAUGUCCUAAACUUCCACAGAGGUAACAGGUUGGACUUGUCCCAACAUUGGUAGUCGGAGUGAUGAACUUGAAUAGGAUUCUACAACCGCGGGAGGUGUGUCCCUUCCUAUUGCAUCUGGUGCAAUGCAGCACUCGGCAGACCCCGUGAUGAUGGUAGUUUCAUUUGUUGCAGUGCGGGAGAUUUCCAUAAUAGGGUAUGGUUGGUGUGGGAACAGCAGGGCUGACUGGGGUACUAACUAUCCCAAUUCGUUGCCUCUCAGUAGGUCUUUGGGUUGAACAACUCCCGUUUAACUUUCAUUUUAGGAUGUUAGGUUGGAGAUUAGGUGUGUCCUUUCUAGUAGGCACUUGUUGUUGAGAUUGGUUAACACCAAGAUUCGGAUUGCCAUUCACACUUUCACCCACAUUCGUGUUGUUAGCGUUAAGAACAGCUAAGGCGGCUGCUACAGCUACUGUGACGGUAGCUUGGAACGUAGCUGGGUCCAUCUGGAGGAUUGGUGUCUUACUGGUGGGUUGGUUACGUUUCUUCGGAGGCAUGAUCUGCUACAUAUCAAGGAAAGAAGAUUGUGAGCAACAAUGGUUGCCCCCAGAUAUAUCCUAAAUGCUUAUCUGUGCGUUGAGAUUUCCCGUUAAGCUAUCGGACUCUCAGUGAUUCGACCCACAUCCCCGUGAUGUGGUCUUAGCUAUGAUAGAAAAGAUUUGAACACACAAACUUCGCAUAUAAUAAGUUUACGAACUCCUGGUUGCUCAGCUCAGCGGACUGGCUGAGUAACUCUCACAUUUUUGACGGCUAUUGACGAUAUGGAGAUUUGGCUAUAAGGGUAGUUCCGAGGAUCAAGUCGAUACAGGAUUCAACUUGGCACUCGGAAAAAAUCCCUGGAAUGUCUUCAGGGAAGCCAUCAGGAAAGUUGCAGACUUCGAAGAUGCUCUCGAGGUCGUUAACUUCUUGUGUCUCAUUGUCAACAUGAGCCAGGAAUGCAUAGCAUUCCUUCCGUAGAUGCUCCUAGACUUGACGCAGGAAAUGAUACGAAGGUUCGAAAAAUCUUAUCACUGAGACCAAAGAGAGUUUCGUUGAAGGGACGAAUUGCUUUCCCCGAAGCAAGGGAUAUCAGCAUGAUUUGAGGUUUAACCAUUUCGUGCCAAUUAGGAUAUCAAAGCUGACACGAAAUUGAUGGGGAAAGGAAUAAUCGUCUAAGUACAUCUUAUGGUUCACGUUUUGAGGAUAAAACAGUGAUGGGACCUUGAUAAAGUUGCUUACUUUUCAUGCUAUCAAUCUAAGGUACACUUUUGACAAUGAAAAUCUUUAACUGAAAUAUGAUAGUUGCCACCAUUAUCGAUAUCAAGAUUACACAUUGUUUGAAGAAUUUGACCUAGGGGUAGGUCUACCACAUACCAACAGAGGAACAAUUUGACAACAUAAAGAACUAGCAAAUCGGUACAUGCAAGGCAAGAAUGUCUACAGAGAAAGGAGCUACUUGGAACAUAAAUAGGGAAGCUAUUCUUUAGACCAAAAGGAAAGACAAGUAGAAUAUUU